GUCCAGCUGACAAAUCUCAAAUAGAACGGAACGCGCGUUCUGGAU
rnacentral:hammerhead_ribozyme from 1 species